GAAACUUGUUGCCUUCAAGGCUGAGCGCCUUUCUACACUCCCACUUCUACAAUUUAUUCCCAAUUUUACCCAUGAUUCAUUUGCGUAUUACGGAAAAAUAGUUCAAAAGCAGAUAACUCGUAUAUACACAAAUCUCCAAGCUUUCAGGGAAUGAUGACUCCGUCACAAUACUUCCCCAAGCUCACCACUUCUCCUACAAUCCCUUCCUAUUUACCAUUCUGCCACCACACUCGAUUUCUUCCUCUUCCUCUUCCUUCUCAACAUUUCGCAUCUACUUUCGUCUCAACGAAAAGCAGAUCUCACAAAAUUCCGAAUCUCGUUUCAGGUUUCCGAGAAAAACCCAGACUUUCUCCAUCCGCUGGGUGCUUCGCAUCGUCUUCCUCAAUGGAGAAUCCGACUCAGAGCAGCGAAACCAAAACUUUCUCUGUUCUUUUCGUCUGUCUCGGAAACAUUUGUCGGAGCCCAGCAGCUGAAGGCGUAUUUAGAGAUAUUGUGAAGAAGAGAGGCCUCGAUUCCAAAUUCAACAUCGAUUCAGCAGGAACCAUCGAUUAUCACGAGGGAAAUAUGGCAGAUCCAAGAAUGAGAAGUGCUGCGAAACGACGUGGAGUUGAGAUAACAUCGUUGUCUAGACCAAUAAAGGCAUCUGAUUUCAGGGAGUUUGAUCUCAUUCUUGCAAUGGAUGAGCAGAACAAAGAGGAUAUUUUGAAUGCGUUUAAUGUAUGGAAAGCCAGAGGGAAUUUCCCACCUGAUGCAGAUAAAAGGUUAAGCUAAUGUGUUCAUAUUGCAAGAAACACAAUGACAAGGUAGUUCCAGACCCGUAUUACGGUGGAGCUCAAGGUUUCGAGAAGGUAUUGGACUUGCUUGAAGAUGCAUGUGAGUCGCUGCUGGAUAGUAUCACAGCGGAAAAUUGAGAUUGGUUCUGAUUGAUGAUGGCUUUGCACAUAAAAUUGAAACUUUGGGUUAUAUUACAUUUGUAGACAUCUUAUUGAUGGGUUAUAUUACAUGGCUUUACAUUUGUAAA